GGGUUGUGAGGUUAAGCGACUAAGCGUACACGGUGGAUGCCCUGGCAGUCAGAGGCGAUGAAGGACGUGCUAAUCUGCGAAAAGCGUCGGUAAGGUGAUAUGAACCGUUAUAACCGGCGAUGUCCGAAUGGGGAAACCCAGUGCAAUUCGUUGCACUAUCGUUAACUGAAUACAUAGGUUAACGAGGCGAACCGGGGGAACUGAAACAUCUAAGUACCCCGAGGAAAAGAAAUCAACCGAGAUUCCCCCAGUAGCGGCGAGCGAACGGGGAGCAGCCCAGAGUCUGAAUCAGCUUGUGUGUUAGUGGAACGGUCUGGAAAGUCCGACGGUACAGGGUGAUAGUCCCGUACACCAAAAUGCACAGGUUGUGAACUCGAAGAGUAGGGCGGGACACGUGGUAUCCUGUCUGAAUAUGGGGGGACCAUCCUCCAAGGCUAAAUACUCCUGACUGACCGAUAGUGAACCAGUACCGUGAGGGAAAGGCGAAAAGAACCCCGGCGAGGGGAGUGAAAAAGAACCUGAAACCGUGUACGUACAAGCAGUGGGAGCACCUUCGGGUGUGACUGCGUACCUUUUGUAUAAUGGGUCAGCGACUUAUAUUCUGUAGCAAGGUUAACCGUAUAGGGGAGCCGCAGGGAAACCGAGUCUUAACUGGGCGUUAAGUUGCAGGGUAUAGACCCGAAACCCGGUGAUCUAGCCAUGGGCAGGUUGAAGGUUGGGUAACACUAACUGGAGGACCGAACCGACUAAUGUUGAAAAAUUAGCGGAUGACUUGUGGCUGGGGGUGAAAGGCCAAUCAAACCGGGAGAUAGCUGGUUCUCCCCGAAAGCUAUUUAGGUAGCGCCUCGUGAACUCAUCUUCGGGGGUAGAGCACUGUUUCGGCUAGGGGGUCAUCCCGACUUACCAACCCGAUGCAAACUACGAAUACCGAAGAAUGUUAUCACGGGAGACACACGGCGGGUGCUAACGUCCGUCGUGAAGAGGGAAACAACCCAGACCGCCAGCUAAGGUCCCAAAGUCAUGGUUAAGUGGGAAACGAUGUGGGAAGGCACAGACAGCCAGGAUGUUGGCUUAGAAGCAGCCAUCAUUUAAAGAAAGCGUAAUAGCUCACUGGUCGAGUCGGCCUGCGCGGAAGAUGUAACGGGGCUAAACCAUGCACCGAAGCUGCGGCAGCGACACUAUGUGUUGUUGGGUAGGGGAGCGUUCUGUAAGCCUGCGAAGGUGUGCUGUGAGGCAUGCUGGAGGUAUCAGAAGUGCGAAUGCUGACAUAAGUAACGAUAAAGCGGGUGAAAAGCCCGCUCGCCGGAAGACCAAGGGUUCCUGUCCAACGUUAAUCGGGGCAGGGUGAGUCGACCCCUAAGGCGAGGCCGAAAGGCGUAGUCGAUGGGAAACAGGUUAAUAUUCCUGUACUUGGUGUUACUGCGAAGGGGGGACGGAGAAGGCUAUGUUAGCCGGGCGACGGUUGUCCCGGUUUAAGCAUGUAGGCUGAUUGUCCAGGCAAAUCCGGAUAAUCAAGGCUGAGGUGUGAUGACGAGGCACUACGGUGCUGAAGUAACAAAUGCCCUGCUUCCAGGAAAAGCCUCUAAGCAUCAGGUAACAUUAAAUCGUACCCCAAACCGACACAGGUGGUCAGGUAGAGAAUACCAAGGCGCUUGAGAGAACUCGGGUGAAGGAACUAGGCAAAAUGGUGCCGUAACUUCGGGAGAAGGCACGCUGGUGUGUAGGUGAAGUCCCUGCGGAUGGAGCUGAGACCAGUCGAAGAUACCAGCUGGCUGCAACUGUUUAUUAAAAACACAGCACUGUGCAAACACGAAAGUGGACGUAUACGGUGUGACGCCUGCCCGGUGCCGGAAGGUUAAUUGAUGGGGUUAUCCGUAAGGAGAAGCUCUUGAUCGAAGCCCCGGUAAACGGCGGCCGUAACUAUAACGGUCCUAAGGUAGCGAAAUUCCUUGUCGGGUAAGUUCCGACCUGCACGAAUGGCGUAAUGAUGGCCAGGCUGUCUCCACCCGAGACUCAGUGAAAUUGAACUCGCUGUGAAGAUGCAGUGUACCCGCGGCAAGACGGAAAGACCCCGUGAACCUUUACUAUAGCUUGACACUGAACAUUGAGCCUUGAUGUGUAGGAUAGGUGGGAGGCUUUGAAGCGUGGACGCCAGUCUGCGUGGAGCCAACCUUGAAAUACCACCCUUUAAUGUUUGAUGUUCUAACGUUGGCCCCUGACCGGGGUUGCGGACAGUGUCUGGUGGGUAGUUUGACUGGGGCGGUCUCCUCCCAAAGCGUAACGGAGGAGCACGAAGGUUAGCUAAUCCUGGUCGGACAUCAGGAGGUUAGUGCAAUGGCAUAAGCUAGCUUGACUGCGAGCGUGACGGCGCGAGCAGGUGCGAAAGCAGGUCAUAGUGAUCCGGUGGUUCUGAAUGGAAGGGCCAUCGCUCAACGGAUAAAAGGUACUCCGGGGAUAACAGGCUGAUACCGCCCAAGAGUUCAUAUCGACGGCGGUGUUUGGCACCUCGAUGUCGGCUCAUCACAUCCUGGGGCUGAAGUAGGUCCCAAGGGUAUGGCUGUUCGCCAUUUAAAGUGGUACGCGAGCUGGGUUUAGAACGUCGUGAGACAGUUCGGUCCCUAUCUGCCGUGGGCGCUGGAGAAUUGAGGGGGGCUGCUCCUAGUACGAGAGGACCGGAGUGGACGCAUCACUGGUGUUCGGGUUGUCAUGCCAAUGGCACUGCCCGGUAGCUAAAUGCGGAAGAGAUAAGUGCUGAAAGCAUCUAAGCACGAAACUUGCCCCGAGAUGAGUUCUCCCUGAGACUAUAAGUCUCCUGAAGGAACGUUAAAGACGAUGACGUUGAUAGGCCGGGUGUGUAAGCGCAGCGAUGCGUUGAGCUAACCGGUACUAAUGAACCGUGAGGCUUAACCUUACAACGCCGAAG
rnacentral:rRNA from 2 species